GCACUAUGCUCAUGAAGCAUCUCAUUUAAUCCUUGCAAGAACCUGAUGGAGUGGAUUCUAGCAUUAUUGACAGUUUUUCUAAGAGGAAACCGAAGGCUUAAUGAGGACAGGUUUUUAGGAAUCUGAUCAUGAAGACAGGCAGGCUCCGAGGGCCCAGCACAGCCUGCCCAUCUUGCAGCAUGAUUCUGCCUGGGAGUCAGGGAACCCACACUGGCUGAUGGAGGGCUGGGAGAGCUGCGGGGAGCCUGAGGGGCGGGCAGAGAGAUCCGGAGCCAAGAACUGACUAGAUCAACCAGUAAAUAAAAGGUCACAAUGAUUUUUCCAGGCACCCAGGGAGAAGCAGACAAGAGAGCCCAGCUGACGGCAGGAGCUGACAACUGGCAAAUGAGCCUCCACAGUUAUCUGUUUUCCUUCCUUAUUCUUGUCUCAUAAGACAGAGGCUAGAAAUAGAUGCAACUGGCAGAUGACUUAAGGAUGAAAAAUGGGCAACGUGUUAGUUGUGGGGGACUCCAUGGUAGUGAAAGAGGGAGAUUACCUUGGAGGCAGGGAGAAAACACAGGGCUUAGCUAGAGCCAUGGCUGAGGGUUUGGCUCUCACACUGUCCCAGGCAUUGUAUAGGGAUUUCACCUUCUCAGCAGUCCUAUCAGGUAGGUAUUAUUGUUAUCCCCACUUUACAGAAGACAAGACCAAGGCUUAGAGAGGAUACGCUAGGCCAUAUCAAAGAGUGAUAGAGCCAAGAUUUGAAUACAAUUCUAAUUGCCUCCCAAGAUGAGGCCUUACAGUAAACUAGAAUGCCUCCUUUUCAUAGAUAUUUUCCUUUGUUUCCUUUUUCCCCCUCCUCUCUUUCUUCCUAAGCUCCAACAAGUGUUUCCUGUUUCUUUCUUUUUUUUUUUUUUUUUUUUUUUUGGGAUGGAGUCUCUCUCUGUCCCCCAGGCUGGAGUGCAGUGGAGCGAUCUCGGCUCCCUGCAAGCUCCAUCUCCAGGGUUCACACCAUUCUCCUGCCUCAGCCUCCCGAGUAGCUGGGACUACAGGUGACCGCCACCAUGCCUGGCUAAUUUUUUGUAUUUUUAGUAGAGACGGGGUUUCACCGUGUUAGCCAGGAUGGUCUCCUGACCUCGUGAUCCACCCGCCUCAGCCUCGCAAAGUGCUGGGAUUACAGGCGUGAGCCACUGCGCCCAGCCCUAGUGUUUCUUGAGUACCUACUAAGUACCAAAUGCUGUGGUAUCUCUUGGGGAGACAGAAGCAGCCCAGACAGGCAAGGUCUCUGCCUGUAAUAAAUGCUGCAGAAAUGAUACAAUGAAUGCCUGAAAUGGGUGCACUAUCUCAUUUCCUUUAUCCUCUUUCCAUGAACCUGGGAUGGGCAGAGAUCUUCCUUGCUGUACAGUCAGAGAAAUGGCUGUCCUGAGGGGAGGGGAUUGGCAAGGUUACAACGGGCUUCAGCACUGGAGCUCUGCCAGAGCUAGCAUCUUUUUUCCUGAUGAUGUUACUUAGAUACAGGGUAUGUCCAGAGGACCUGCUGGUGAGCUUGCCACAGAGAGCACCAGGGGCUGGGUGCAUGAUGGCUUCCUACCAAGUUCUAUGUUGUAGCAGCUGGGGCUGGGGGAAUCCCUCUUAGGAAAGGUGGGUGGAUUGAGCCCCCCUGAAGGCUGCUCACCUGCAUGCUGCAGAAAUUCUGUGAGGAUGGAUGCCUCCUAAUCCUUGCCUUCAGCUCUGCCAGUAUCAAGUUUUGGGAAAUAGUCCUUGAAUAUACCAAACUCUCUCACACUCCCAAGCUUUCCUUAACUUGAACAAUAUUUCUUUGCUUUUUUAUUCCACUGGGUGAGCCCCUCCCCUCUCACGAUUCACCUAGAGCAUCACCUCCUCCAGGAAGCCUUCCUUGACUCACAGGCUAUAUUGGGUGGUGCCCUCUCCUGUAAUCCCAGCACUCUGCAUACUGUAUUGUAACUCACUACUUACUUGUCUAUUUUCCAUAUGUAUGUGUGAUAGUGCAAGGAUAAGCUCUUUGCUGUGAGCACAGUUGGUCCUCAAAGGCUGUUUGAUGAGCUAUUUAAUGGCUAAGUGGCUAGAACAUUUUUUUCAUCUCAGUUCAUUCUUCCCUCUCCUGUCUUCCUUCUACCUGGCUUGCAUCUCUGCCCACCUCUUUCUUAUAAUUAAAUAUUAGUUGAGGGACAGAGGCUGAACCCAGACUGUUUGCUAAGUCACCAACAGCUGAUGACACAGUCAGCCUUCUCAUCACCUGGUGGGAGUUUCAAACCCCAACCUGUUUGCAAGGUGGGGACCAGUCAUAACUGGGGGGAACAAGGUGAGGUGAGGGAGGUAACUUGAGGCACAGUGGCAAAGGCUCAGGGAACUUAACCACAAGGCAUGCACUCUAUGAAGUGGAGAUUGCGGCUGAAAAGCUGAGUCCCUGAGCUGGCCUGCUACAGAAAGAUCAAAGGGCCAGCUGGAAAUGCAGCCAAGCUGGGCUCUAAAAACAGUGUAAAGCUGGGAGGAGAAGGGCUUGAACACACAUUUCCCCCAGUGGGUACAUGCAAUGGCAUAUGAAAGAGCCUAACACUAACAUAGUGAAGACACUAACACUAACAUAGUGUAGACACUAACACCCCCAGAACACACAGGAACGUUUGCUCUCAUCUCACUCACCAACCCCACCAACUUCUGUUCUCACAAGCACAUGCAUACUCGAACCCAGGUCAGCCUCCGAGCGCUGUGCACACAGCCUCCAUUCCAUACACAUUCAUGGCUAGAAGGAAUGCACCCAAUGUCAUUGCCGCAAGGGGCAUUCAAACACAUUUUAUCAAUGGGGAAAAUGAGGCUCCAGUUGACCUUGACUCAGAUGUGUGGUGAGUGACUCUUGAUGAUUGGCACAGGCAGACUCUUACCUACUCCUCCCCGGCCACUCUCCCAUCACCCCUCUGCCAUCCUGCCACCUCCCUCCCGCAACAAACUCCCUGGCAGUUCAAAGUUGGAUUCCAAAUUUUGUCCCUAGGAUCAACCCCAUUGAGAAACCUUAUCUGACAGACAGCAUGUGCCAGUGGCUGGCCAGAACUCACAGGUGGUGAGAAAAAGCCCCCCACAUAUUUCUGUAAAUGAGUACAGCUGGUCACUUCUGGCUGAGGAGUUCAGAGGCCUUCACUAAAGAAAUCAAAAAGUGGUGGUCAGCUUCCCACUUCAUGGGAACCCUGUGUUCACAAAGAUGUCCCUGGAUAAAAGGCCUGAGAGGAGCUGUUCAAGCCUGAACCAUUUGUAUGAGAAAUCUGCUGGGGUGGAGACCAACACCUUUCCCCUCCCUCAGGGGCACCCAGAGCCCUGGCCCACAUACAGAGGGACCUUGCCAAGUCCCGGCCACGCACCCCAGGACUUCCAAUUGCGCUUGUCUCCAGGGGUUCACUGACUUCCCCUUUGCCUCUGCCCCUCUUCCUGAUGCAUGGUGCCGCUCUCGACACCUCUGAACCUGCAUCUUCACACUACAGAAACCGUCCUAGUCAUCAGUGGAUGGCAGUAACUUUUCAUGACGGCUCCUCUGAUGUUGCCAUCUUUCGUGUUGAUCAAAACAACAAAACGAAUCAGACUCUCGGCAUCUGAUUGAAGCCUAAUUGGAAAUCCAAAGUGGCACUAAAUGUUAUGGUCUAAAUAAAACACAUUCAAUUACUGAAACUCAACGCAGGGAACACAAGGGAGCGCUCCUGGAAGGAGCUGAAAAGCAGGCUGCAGAGCUCUGGGGUGUCAUUCCGGGGCCCCCUGUGUCUGGCUGGAUAAGACUUAAGAUGGGGAACACAGGAGGCUUUCUUGAGUCUGAGAACCUCUUACUUAGGGCCAGGGAUUGAGCUGAUAUGGGUUUGCAUGGUUCACACUUGAAACAGCACCAGAGAAGCUGAAUCGGGGCUUCAAUGCCUCACAUGUGUUCUGCAGCUGCCCUCCUUGAAAAGGUUUUUCCUUUGCCAGACCGACGAGCUUUGGAUGGGGGUAAGAAAAUAUGCAGAGGAGUCAUGAUGUCUCCCGCUGGGGUCUCUGCAUGGGCUCUCCUGGUGCUAGGGGAGGGCGAGCAGUCCAGGAGCUUUGCAGCCACACAGACAGGCUCCUCACUCCCGGCUAUGCCUCCUAAAAGUCAUAGACACACCUAGCUCAGAUCCCUCAACAUUGCUGCACCUGGCCUUCCUCAUUUGUCAAACGGGGGAGAUAAUACCUGUCUUCCCAGGUUCUUGUGAAGAGGGGAGAUCAUGCUCGUGAGGCGCUUGGCUGGCUGCGCAGGAGAAACUCCGCGGUAACUUCCUGGGGCGAGGUGCUUUUUCUCCCUGCAUUCUGACCACCUGCAGAGGCAUUUCCCCUGACUGUCCAUGUAGGGCCCGGGGCAGUGCUUGCUUUCCUUUAUUGGUUUUUUAAACUAAACAGUGCACUACUCCAAUCUCCUUGAAGGUGUCAAAUGAGGAGUUACUGAGUCUGUGCUGGCCUCCUGGAGCCCAGAAAGCCGCCUCUGAACCCUUUUCCUAACUGGGAGCCGGGUGUGGGGAGAGCAGGAGGGGAGGAGCCUUCUGCAGCCACAGGGCAGCCAGGGGGCGCUGUCUCAGGAAGCUGAAGAGGUGUGGAUUUGGCUUCAGAGGUGUGGGGUGGAGUCCCAGCCCUGCUGUUGGACAGCUUGGUGGCCCUGGGCAAAUUACUUAGUCAGUUUGAAUUUCAGUUUUGUUAUCUGUUAAAAAAAGGCAAGGACAAUAAUACUUAUCUCAUAGGACUGGUGUAUUAGCUGAGGCCAUGUUUGUAAACUAAAAUAAGAAAAACACGGCAAAAAUAUUAGUUAGAUUUCAACACAGCUUAAAUAAGGUAGGGCUGAGAGGCAAGGCAGGGUGGUUAAGCUUUUUUUAGGUGUGGCUGUUUGCAAAGCAUGACCUGCAGGGCUUGGCCUGAUGAUGAUGUAUGGGGGCACAACUGUAAAAAUAUAAUUACUACUACUACCAUUUACUAAGCGGGUAGUAGGUUCCUGGUACUUUUCAGAGUGCUUUUUAUGCAUUAAUUAAUUUAAUCUUCAAACAGAUGCCAUAAUUAUGCCCAUUUUACAGGUGAGGUAACUGAAGCACAGAAAGGUGAAGCAACUUGCCCAAGGUCACAUGGCAGUAAGCAGUAGAGCCAGGGCUUGAACCCAGGCUGGCUGCUCCCCAUGGCUGUCAGGAAACUACUGAUAGUCAAUCAUUGUCUGCUUCUCCACAUUCGGCUUGGUAUACCCUUUCUUCUCCGGAGUCACUGCCCCCUCAGACCUCUCAUCUCCUCUUCUGUAAAAUAAAGGGCUGCUCUUCACUAGAGAAUCUCUGGAUAAACCAGCUCUGGAUUCUUGUGUUAGGGAGAGGGUGAGUCCCCCGAGUGACCCCAAUUAGGGAGGGAACCAGGACAGGUCCCUUCCUGGUGGUAUGCGUUUAUGAGUUACUUUAAUCAUUGAAUACAUAGUACAUCUCUUCUACAGCAUUGCUCUGAUGUACAAAUAAAUAACCUUAUCUUGUGAUUUAUCUAUACAUCAUUGCGCUUCUCCAGAAUUUGACCACCUUGAGGGCAGGGAUUCUAUUUUAUUUUUUGCUAUACAAAAGCAUACGUAAUAGUGCUAUUGUUGCAUUGAAAACAGCAAAAAGAAAUCAAGAAGGUACUUAUCUUCCUGGCAGCCCUAUUUAGAAGGAGACUUUUGCUGGAAUAUUACUUAGAAAGACAGCCCUAUCUAUAUCUACAUAUGCAAAUGACUUGUCAGUGGACAGCUCUAUGCAUUAUACAUGGUCAACACUUAAUGGUCUAUUGAAUGAAUGAGUCUGCAUAUGCAAACAAUAUGCAAAUCUUUCCCUAUUUUAAUUUGACCCUUCGGAACAUCUUCAGGAACUCUCUUGGGCCUAGGUUGUUUUAAUGUUGCUAAUUAAAAGUUUUUAAACACAGUGUUCACUCUUGUCUGUGCUG